rnacentral:rRNA from 1 species
AUUGAACGCUGGCGGCAUGCCUUACACAUGCAAGUCGAACGGUAACAGGUCUUCGGAUGCUGACGAGUGGCGAACGGGUGAGUAAUACAUCGGAACGUGCCUAGUAGUGGGGGAUAACUACUCGAAAGAGUGGCUAAUGCCGCAUGAGAUCUACGGAUGAAAGCAGGGGAUCGCAAGACCUUGUGCUACUAGAGCGGCCGAUGGCAGAUUAGGUAGUUGGUGGGAUAAAAGCUUACCAAGCCGACGAUCUGUAGCUGGUCUGAGAGGACGAUCAGCCACACUGGGACUGAGACACGGCCCAGACUCCUACGGGAGGCAGCAGUGGGGAAUUUUGGACAAGGGGCGAAAGCCUGAUCCAGCAAUGCCGCGUGCAGGAUGAAGGCCUUCGGGUUGUAAACUGCUUUUGUACGGAACGAAAAGCCCCGGGUUAAUACCCUGGGGUCAUGACGGUACCGUAAGAAUAAGCACCGGCUAACUACGUGCCAGCCGCCGCGGUAA